rnacentral:rRNA from 1 species
UGGCGGCGUGCCUAACACAUGCAAGUCGAACGAGAAAGUGGAGCAAUCCAUGAGUAAAGUGGCGACCGGGUGAGUAACACGUGACUACCUGCCCUUGAGUGGGGGAUAACCUCGGGAAACCGAGGCUAAUACCGCAUAAAAUCGCAAGAUCAAAGGAGCAAUCCGCUUUUGGAGGGGGUCGCGGCUGAUUAGCUAGUUGGUGAGGUAAUGGCUCACCAAGGCGAAGAUCGGUAUCCGGCCUGAGAGGGCGCACGGACACACUGGAACUGAAACACGGUCCAGACUCCUACGGGAGGCAGCAGUGGGGAAUUUUGCGCAAUGGGGGAAACCCUGACGCAGCAGCGCCGCGUGGAGGAUGAAGCCCCUUGGGGCGUAAACUCCUUUCGACCGGGAAAAUAAUGAUGGUACCGGUGGAAGAAGCACCGGCUAACUCUGUGCCAGCAGCCGCGGUAAUACAGAGGGUGCGAGCGUUGUUCGGAAUUAUUGGGCGUAAAGGGCGCGUANGCUGUGUUGUAAGUCACCUGUGAAAUCCCCAGGCUUAACUUGGGGUCUG